UACGAAGGGGGCUAGCGUUGCUCGGAAUCACUGGGCGUAAAGCGCACGUAGGCGGCUUUUUAAGUCAGGGGUGAAAUCCUGGAGCUCAACUCCAGAACUGCCUUUGAUACUGGGAAGCUUGAGUCCGGGAGAGGUGAGUGGAACUCCGAGUGUAGAGGUGAAAUUCGUAGAUAUUGGGAAGAACACCGGUGGCGAAGGCGGCUCACUGGCCCGUUUCUGACGCUGCAGCGCGAAAGCGUGGGGAUCAAACAGG
rnacentral:rRNA from 1 species